AGGCUCUCCUCAGACAGUGGCUGUGUGUCCGCCGGGACCUCCCUCUGCCAGUCUGCCAUGGAGGCUCAUGGUCCCUCUGCACCGGCCUUGACAGCAAUCAGCAGCCCAGCAGGCUGGUCCAUACUGGCUUGGGCUGGACAGAGCUGAAGCCCACGUGGUGCCUGGCCUUGCUUAACCGAGAGAACAAAGUGGAAGAGACGCUGUGGUAGUCAGUUUCUAGGCAUGGAUCUUAAGAAACUGACAACUUCUAUGUCCUAUCUCUUGGGCUGCUCAUGCUCCCAGCCACUCUGCUGUGAGGAAGACCACGUGGUCACACAUAGAGGCCGUAUGCCAGGGUCCUGCUCACAGCCCAGCCUUGCACAUGAGUGGGCCGUCUUGGGCUGGCCCAACAGCCACCACGCACGCAGAGCAGGCGGUUCUUCUCACCGGGCCCUGCCCAACCUGUAGAUUCCGCAUCAAACAAUAAUUGGCUUUAAACAAA